rnacentral:rRNA from 1 species
CCUACGGGUGACAGCAGUCGAGAAUCAUUCACAAUGGGGGAAACCCUGAUGGUGCGACGCCGCGUGGGGGAAUGAAGUUCUUCGGAUUGUAAACCCCUGUCAUGUGGGAGCAAAUUAAAAAGAUAGUACCACAAGAGGAAGAGACGGCUAACGCUCUGCCAGCAGCCGCGGUAAUACAUAGGUCUCAAGCGUUGUGCGGAAGUACUGGGCGUAAAGCGUGCGUAGGCUGUUUCGUACGUGGUGUGUGAAAGGCCCGGGCUCAACCCGCGAACUGCACAUGAUACUGCGUGACUAGAGUAAUGGAGGGGGAACCGGAAUUCGCGGUGUAGCAGUGAAAUGCGUAGAUAUCGGGAGGAACACUAGUGGCGAAGGCGGGUUCCUGGACAUUAACUGACGCUGAGGCACGAAGGCCAGGGGAGCGAAAGGGAUUAGAUACCCCGGUAGUC